AAAUUGAAGAGUUUGAUCAUGGCUCAGAUUGAACGCUGGCGGCAGGCCUAACACAUGCAAGUCGAACGGUAGCACA
rnacentral:rRNA from 6 species